GAUGAACGCUGGCGGCGUGCAUAACACAUUCAAGUCGAACGGUGACUCCCCCUUCGGGGGAUGAUCAGUGGCGGACGGGUGAGUAACGCGUGAGCAACCUGCCUCAUACUCAGGGAUAACACAGGGAAACUUGUGCUAAUACCGGAUAAUAUAUUAGGACUGCAUGGUUCUGAUAUCAAAGCUCCGGCGGUGUGAGAUGGGCUCGCGUAUGAUUAGAUAGUUGGCAGGGUAACGGCCUACCAAGUCUGCGAUCAUUAGCCGAACUGAGAGGUUGAACGGCCACAUUGGAACUGAGAAACGGUCCAGACUCCUACGGGAGGCAGCAGUGGGGAAUAUUGGGCAAUGGGCGAAAGCCUGACCCAGCGACGCCGCGUGCGGGAAGACGGUCUUCGGAUUGUAAACCGCUUUCAGCAGGGAAGAAGCAAGUGACGGUACCUGCAGAAGAAGUCACGGCUAACUACGUGCCAGCAGCCGCGGUAAGAC
rnacentral:rRNA from 1 species